rnacentral:lncRNA from 1 species
GAUGCUAUGGAAGAUCAGAAAAUAUAAAUUUAUGAACUGCUAUAAACUGUUAUUUUCUUCGUGAAGAUCAGCCUCCAGGUUCAUCACAUGACUCAGCUAAGAGAAAAUAUCCAGUGGCUCAUCGUUACCUGUGGGAGGAGGUCUGAACUCCAUGGCUUUGCAUUCAUGUUCUUGUUUGUCUCACUUCAACCUUCAUUCCCUCCAAGUCCUCGUUGUCCUCCCAGGGUUCCUCUGCUACAGCCGGGGGAGUCUGAUCCCUGCUUCCUAAAUUUCUCUGAAGCUUAUCUACACCUAUGUUUUUGCUCCACUCUUCUUUCUCCUUUAUACACCAAUUAUUCUCCUGUUUUAUCCAAAUUAUUCCCUUCUGCAAGACUCACAUCAAGUACGAUUUCUUUC